GUUCCCUUUACAAGGAUGUAGUGACCUUGUUAGUCCUUCUUAAUUAGUUUUGGUUUGAAAUCUCCCUUGGCUGCCAAUAAAAUAGCUACUUUUUUUCUGGGUUUUCUCUCCCCCUCCUUUUUUUCUUUCUUUCCUGGGGAUUGAAUUUAGUGAUCUUCUGGUUUCAUUGUUUCUAGUAGUACCCUGAUUUGAAUCACAUUAUACUGUGCAUAUUUCAGUCCUUUACUUGAUUUUGAAGACUUCUGAGGCCAUGGGUUUAGGUGGGAAAGAAGUGCUUUAAUCUGAUUUCUUUACCAGGCUGUUUAUGUCCUUUUGCCCUGAGAAGUCUCAGUAGGAGGCUUGUUUCUGGCUGUUUCGGGAUAUAGAAAAGGUUAGCUUCUGCUUGUGCCUUACUGAGGACUGUGUGAUGUGUUGACUGAGCAAGUUGACAGUGUGAUUUUGUGAAAUAGAAGCAGCUUGGUAUUUAGAAUGUGUACCAUAUUAUUGGUCUCAUUGAGUUGAAUGUGUCCCAUCCAAGGUAAUCCAUGCCAUCAUCUGUGUACUGCUGGGAAAUGUAAAAGCUGAUAAUUAAACUGUGACGUGCCAGUGGUUGUGAGGUGCAUCCAGUUUUAGUAAUACUAACUUGGGGAAAAAAUGUGCAUGGAACUCGAAUUGGUAAGAUACACAUUAGAUUUAAAGCCAGACCCCUGUUGGUCCUGUUCCUUCCUGUUAUGUGAUCUUGGAUGAGUCGUUGUUGCACAGUCAUUGUUGGAUGAGCGCUUUUGUGCCAAGGCCUGAUUUUUCUGUGGAUGGGUGUAGCUAGGAAGAUCCUGGAGGAGCUCUUCUUUGCCUCCCUGUCCUGACCCUGCUCCCCCAAGCUCAUCCAUUUGUAGUGGUCAGGAGAUAUUGAAUGGAUGAAUGAAUGAAGUAUAGAAAUAAUGAAGUGGAUAGCUCAACACAUGUUCACUUUUUUCCUUCUUUUAUUUUUAUUUGUAGAAAGAAGGAACUCUCAGCCACCAAGAAAGAUCGUGUGAAUCAUUGUCUGACAAUAUGUGAAAACAUAGUGGCACAGUCUCUCAGAAAUUCUCCAGAAUUUCAGAAACUCCUGGGCAUUGCCAUGGAACUUUUCCUGUUGUGCAGUGAUGAUGCGGAGUCGGAUGUCAGGAUGGUGGCUGACGAAUGCCUCAACAAAGUUAUCAAAGUAAGAACCCGGGGGGCUCUGUCACCUCAGAGCUGCAGUCAUUGUAGCGGGGAGGAGCCACCUCUGGCCAGCAUCCUUGUGUUUGAGGUGUCUUGUUUGUGUGGGCAUUGACAUAUCCUGGGUCCUUGGGGUGGUAACAAAUAAUUUUAUUAGUAAUAUGGCUUUCACACUCUGCCCAGUGAAGUGGAGGGACAUGGUGUGACUGUGCACCUGCUGCUUUCUGUUUUGUGUUAUGUGUGUCUAAGGAAUAUUGUUGCCCAUGCGAUCUUUCCUGCCCUGGUGGCAGAUAGUCUCCAGGCCACCAUGCUUUCUGUGUUCAGGGCUUCUCUGUAGCCAUCAUCAUGCCUUUCCUGCACCUGAACUUUGUGCCUGUUGCUUUUGUCUGCCC
rnacentral:lncRNA from 1 species